GACGAACGCUGGCGGCGUGCUUAACACAUGCAAGUCGAACGGAAAGGCCCUGCUUUUGUGGGGUGCUCGAGUGGCGAACGGGUGAGUAACACGUGAGUAACCUGCCCUUGACUUUGGGAUAACUUCAGGAAACUGGGGCUAAUACCGGAUAGCAGCUCCCGCUGCAUGGUGGGGGUUGGAAAGUCUCGGCGGUUGGGGAUGGAUUCGCGGCUUAUCAGCUAGUUGGUGGGGUAGUGGCUUACCAAGGCUUUGACGGGUAGCCGGCCUGGGAGGGUGACCGGCGACAUUGGGACUGAGAGACGGCCCAGACUCCUACGGGAGGCAGCAGUGGGGAGUAUUGCACAAUGAGAGGAAGCCUGAUGCAGCGACGCCGCGUGCGGGAUGACGGCCUUCGGGUUGUAAACCGCUUUCGCCUGUGACGAAGCGGGAGUGACGGUAAUGGGUAAAGAAGCACCGGCUAACUACGUG
rnacentral:rRNA from 1 species